CGAUAGCGACAGUACUGUGAAGGAAAGAUGAAAAGCACUUUGAAAAGAGAGUGAAACAGCACGUGAAAUUGUUGAAAGGGAAGGGUAUUGGGCUCGACAUGGGAUUUGCGCACCGCUGCUCCUUGUGGGCGGCGCUCUGUGCUUUUCCUGGGCCAGCAUCGGUUUUUGCCGCAGGAGAAGGCGUGCUGGAAUGUGGCUCUUCGGAGUGUUAUAGCCAGUGCGAGAUGCUGCGUGCGGGGACCGAGGACUGCGACAUCUGUCUCGGAUGCUGGCACAACGGCGCAAUACCGCCCGUCUUGA
rnacentral:rRNA from 1 species